UUUACUGAGCACGUGCUAUGUGUCUGUCGGGAGUGUGAAGCACUGGGGAGUCAAGAAAGGCUGCUUGUUCAGCCCUUGAGCAACUCACACACCUGUUCCGGAAGCGCACACGGUGCCAUGUGAUCUUACAAGAGAGGGCUCAAGGGACCACGACAGGCUCAGGCCGUUACCCAUGGAACUGGCCAGGGAGAGCCUACCUGUCAAAUUGGCUGGAACGUGGCAAGAUAAACUCCUGAGAGAGACAGCACGAGAAAGGGAGGGGGCCGAGAGAGAGGGAG